rnacentral:rRNA from 1 species
AUGAUGACCGAUCUGGCGGUGGCGCCGCAGAUCACCCUCUGGUCCAUGGCCUCGACGGCGACGACGUAUCCCGCGCCCGCGUUCUUCCUCCCCCAUCUCAUCUCCUCUCCGGUCGCUGCAGAGGAGCUCCGUUUCGCGCCGCCACCAUGGUUGCCUGCAGCGAGCAGCAGAGGACCUAGCCGCCGCGUCCGACCGCAACCGCCGCCUGAAACCCUAGCCCCUCCUUCCAACUGCAGGUCAAGCCAGCAGGAUCCCCUCCAAGAAGAGCAUUUGAUGCGUGAGUGCAUCCCCUUCUCUUCUUGUUCUUCUUCUUCUUCUCGAUUUGAUGUGUGCGUGCGUGCUGUUCUGUGCAGGCCCGACUCGUCUCUGCUUGUUCACAACAAGGAAGGCCAUGGACCGCGGACCUGCUCGACCUGCUCGACCUCCUCCUCACGCCGCCUCGGCCUCCCGGCCCUUGUCGCCGUUGGUCGCCCUCCACGGGAGGGAUCCCAAUUACUGACUGCAUCAGGCGACCAAUCUGUAAAGAUAUGGAGCGUGGAGAAUAAGAAAUGCCUUGGUGUGCUGUCAGGGCACACUAGAAGUGUGAAGUCACUGACAUGCCAUUCUUCAAAUCCUGAUCUUAUUAUUUCUGGUUCAAGAGACGGUUCUUUUGCACUUUGGGAUCUAAGAUGUGACCCCCAAACCCCAAAUGGUCAUGGAUCUGGGGUGAAGGUCAUGUCAUCUCUUCUCGUGGCUCUACUGCCCACUGCUUCCACUGCUGAUAUUUUGAGCUCUUUGAUCAGAGCAAGCACCAUGGGAAGAAACUUCCAAUUAUUUACAAUGAGUACGGGACACAAACCGAUGUGCUUGGACUACCUAGCUCGACCUCUAUCUCAAUGUCAGAAAAUUAGGAACCAGAAGGGAAAAUGGAAGGCGCCUUUGAUGGACAUUCAGCCCGGUUGGCACAUCUAUAACUCAUUCCACGUCCCUCUUGCACGGCGACGGCACAGAUGUAGGGCAGCGGUGGCGGGUGCAUAUGUAGGGAAGCAGCAGCAGUGCGGUGGUGGCGGGUACAGGCGCAGCGCGACGACCUGUGGGCGCACCGGCUCUAGGAUGACCAGGGGCUUGGUAGCUGGGUCCGAUAUCCCUGUGGUGGACAGAGAUGAUGGCGUAUGGAAGUGGCCGGUGGUGGGCAGGGAACAAUGUGGCCCCGUCGUCGUCCUCUUCGUUCAGCUUGACAUGACCGUCGUUCAGCUGAAGACAAUAUUACAUGGGGACGAUUAA